rnacentral:lncRNA from 1 species
CUAAGAUCAAGAAUAAGUCAAGAAUGCCAGGUCUCACCACUUCACUACAACACUGCACUGGAGGUUCUAGCCCAGGAAUCGCAUUCCAAACUUUAUAUGGAAGUGCAAAGUACAUAAAACAGCCAAAACAACUUUGAAAAAACACUAACAAAGUUGGAGUAUUUACACUACCUGUUUUUAGGACUUAUACAGUAAUUAAGAUUGCAUGGUAUUGACAUAAACAUAGAUCAAUAGAUCAAUGUAAAAUAAUAAAGAGUCCAGAAGUAAAACCACACAUAUAUGGUCAAUUGAUUUUUGACAAAGGUGCCACGGCAAUUUAAUGGGUAAAGAAUAAUCUUUUCAAAAAAUGAUACUAGAACAAUGAGUAACAAUAUGCAAAAAAAUACUAACACUUACUUCAUGUCACGUACAAAAAUUAAUUCAAAAUGCAUCACAGACCUAAAUGUGAGAGAUAAAACUAUAGAACGUUAGAGUAUUGCUCAUUAGAACAUUUUGCAGUGAUGGCACUACUAUUUGUCGUACUGAUCAAGAUAAUUGCCACUAGUCCCCUGUGACGACUCAGCACUGGACAUGUGGCUGGUUGACUGAAGGACGUUACUUAUGGAUAAACAACUGUCUCUCCCUACAGCAGAA